rnacentral:tRNA from 1 species
UCCCUGGCAGUCUAGAGGUUAAGACACCAGACUUCCACUGCAGGGGAUGCAGGUUCAAGCCCUGAUCAGGGAA